AGUGAACGCUGGCGGUAGGCCUAACACAUGCAAGUCGAACGGCAGCACAGUAAGAGCUUGCUCUUACGGGUGGCGAGUGGCGGACGGGUGAGGAAUACAUCGGAAUCUACUUUUUGGUGGGGGAUAACGUAGGGAAACUUACGCUAAUACCGCAUACGACCUACGGGUGAAAGCAGGGGAUCUUCAGACCUUGCGCGAUUGAAUGAGCCGAUGUCGGAUUAGCUAGUUGGCGGGGUAAAGGCCCACCAAGGCGACGAUCCGUAGCUGGUCUGAGAGGAUGAUCAGCCAAACUGGAACUGAGACACGGUCCAGACUCCUACGGGAGGCAGCAGUGGGGAAUAUUGGACAAUGGGCGCAAGCCUGAUCCAGCCAUACCGCGUGGGUGAAGAAGGCCUUCGGGUUGUAAAGCCCUUUUGUUGGGAAAGAAAAGCAGCAGGUUAAUACCCCGCUGUUCUGACGGUACCCAAAGAAUAAGCACCGGCUAACUUCGUG
rnacentral:rRNA from 1 species